rnacentral:pre_miRNA from 1 species
AUAAUACUCCCUCCGUCCGGAAAUACUUGUCGAAAAAAUGCAUAAAAAUGAAUGUAUCUAGAACUAAAAUACAUCUAGGUACAUCCAUUCCUCCGACGAGUAUUUCCGGACGGAGGGAGUAUGUG